CGCGGAGUAGAGCAGUGGUAGCUCGUCGGGCUCAUAACCCGGAGGCCGCAGGUUCGAGUCCUGUCUCCGCAA
rnacentral:tRNA from 1 species